AUGGCGGCUCCCUCUCGGUCUGCAUCAACGGACAUCAGUGCAGGCAGUGAGGGUGCAGCAGAGAGACAAUUUUACGUUUUCACCACUGUUUUGGAGCUAAAUGUAAUGAUUAUCAGCCGACUCAGAUUAAGUCUGAGGCCGGUAACAUCAACAGUGAGGACAAACCCAGCCUGCCUCUCUCCUUCCACACUGAGUCCAAACCUACAGUCACUGGGUCCUGAUUGUGACAGUGGAGCCCAGUUGGCACUGCAGGAUCCAGAGAUGGCAUCAGUGAAGCUGGAAGACUGCAGUCAAACACUGGAGCUGAAUGUCAACAUUAAAGAUGAAGAAGAGGAGGAGAAGAUUGGGAAAUCUGUUAAUCAUGGUAAGAGCAGGUUCUAUCUACCUACAGUGGGGAGAACAACUAUUUGAUACACUGCUGAUUUAGCAGGUUUUCCCACUUACAAAGCAUGUAGAGGUCUAAUUUUUAGGUCUGUGAGAGCCGGAAUUCUUACUGGUUGGUCGUUGAUCAAAUACGUAUGUAAUGUAAUAAAAUGCAAUGAAUGAUUUAAAAAUCAUACAAUGUGAUUUUCUGGAAAAAAUUUUCCCGUCUCUCACAGUUGAAGUGUACCUAUGAUAAAAAUUACAGACCUCUACAUGCUUUGUAACUUGGAUAACCUGCAAAAUCGGCAGUGUAUCGAAUACUUGGUCUCCCCACUGUAAGUGUGUGUUGUUCAUUCUAACUUCCCACUGCAUGAAAUGUUGCAGUCGAACUGUUUCAAUGAGAAGGUAGAUGGUAUUUCAUGCUACUGACCAGAGGUCGACCGAUUAUGAUUUUUCAACACCGAUACCGAUUAUUGGAGGACCAAAAAAGCUGAUGCCAAUUAAUGGGCCGAUUUAUAAAAUAAAUUAAAAAAUGUGAUUUAUUCGUAAUAAUGACAAUUACAACAAUAGUGAAUGAACACUUAUUUUAACUUAAUAUAAUACAUCAAUAAAAAUCCAUUUAGCCUCAUAAAUAAUGAAACAUGUUCAAUUUGGUUUAAAUAAUGCAAAAACUAAGUGUUGGAGAAGUAAAAGUGCAAUAUGCGCCAUGUAAAAAAGUUAACGUUUGAGUUCCUCGUACAGAACAUGAGAACAUAUGAAAGUUGGUGGUUCCUUUUAACAUGAGACUUCAAUAUUCCAAGGUAAGAGGUUUUAGGUUGUAGUUAAUACAGUAUUUAUAGGACUUUUUCUCUCUAUACCUUUUGUAUUUCAUAUACCUUUUGACUAUUGGAUGUUUUUAUAGGCACAAUAGUAUUUCCAGUGUAACAGUAUAGCUUCUGUCCCUCUCCUCGCUCCUACCUGGGCUCGAACCAGGAACACAACGACAACAGCCACACUCGAAGCAGCGUUACCCAUCGCUCCACAAAAGCCGCGGCCCUUGCAGAGCAAGGGUAAUAACUACUCAAAAUCUCAGAGCGAGUGACGUUUGAAACGCUAUUAGCGCACACCCAGCUAACUAGCUAGCCAUUUCACAUCGGUUACAUCAGCCAUUAGGCUGAUAGGCUUGAAGUCAUAAACAGUGCUGUGCUCAGUGCUGUGCUUGCGAAGAGCUGCUGGCAAAACGCACAAAUUAAUUCUAACAUAAUAACACACAGAAAUACGAGCCUUUGGUCAUUAAUAUGGUCGAAUCCGGAAACUAUCAUUUCGAAAACAAAACGAUUAUUAUUUCAGUGAAAUAUGAAACCGUUAGGUAUUUUCUCUAAUGGGUGGCAUCCCUAAGUCUAAAUAUUCUUGUUACAUUGCACAACCGUAAAUGUUAUGUCAUAAUUACAUACAAUUCUGGAAAAUUAGUUUGCAAUGAGCCAGGCGGCCCAAACUGUUGACUCUGCGUGCAAUGAAUGCAAGAGAAAUGACACAAUUUCACCUGGUUAAUAUUGCCUGCUAACCUGGAUUUCUUUUAGCUAAAUAUGCAGGUUUAAAAAUAUAUACUUCUGUGUAUUGAUUUUAAGAAAGGCAUUGGUGUUUAUGGUUAGGUACAGUCGUCCAACGAUUGUGCUUUUUUCGCAAAUGCGCUUUUGUUAAAUCAUCCCAUGUGUCGUUAUAACUAGUGAUUAUGAUAGAUUGAUUGUUUUUUUUAUAAGAUAAGUUUAAUGCUAGCUAGCAACUUACCUUGGCUUCUACUGCAUUCGCGUAACAGGCAGUCUCCUCGUAGAGUGCAUUGUAAUCAGGGGGUUAGAGCGUUGGACUAGUUAACUGUAAUGUUGCAAGAUUGGCUCCCCCAAGCUGACAAGGUGAAAAUCUGUCGUUCUGCCCCUGAACAAGGCAGUUAACCCACCGUUCCUAGGCCGCCAUUGAAAAUAAGAAUGUGUUCUUAUAAACCUUUUACGACUAGGGGGCAGUAUUUGAAUUUUUGGAUAAAAAACGUUCCCGUUUUAAACAAGAUAUUUUGUCACGAAAAGAUGCUCGACUAUGCAUAUAAUUGACAGCUUUGGAUAGAAAACACUCUGACGUUUCCAAAACUGCAAAGAUAUUGUCUGAGUGCAACAGAACUGAUGUUACAGGCGAAACCCAGAUAAAAAUUCAACCAGGAAGUGCAUCAUUUUUUGAAACCGCCUCAUGCCAAUGACUCCUAAUAUAUCUGUGAAUGAGCUUACGUUUUCUACGUAUUCCCCAAGGUGUCUACAGCAUUGUGACGUCUUUUUAUGCAUUUAUGUUGAAGAAUAGCCGUAAGGGACCACAUUUAGCAAGUGGUCACAUGAUGUCUCCCGCAGAAAAUCUUGCGUAAAAUACUGAGGUAGCCAUUUUUCCAAUCGCUUCUUAUGAGAAACCAAUUGUUUUCGACGGAUAUAUUAUCGAAUAGAUAUGUUAAAAACACCUUGAGGAUUGAUUCUAAACAACGUUUGCCAUGUUUCUGUCGAUAUUAUGGAGCUAAUUUGGAAAAAAGUUUGCCGUUGUAGUGACAGCAUUUUCCGGGUCGAUUUCUCAGCCAAGCGUGAUGAACAAACGGGAGCUAUUUCGCCUUCAAAAAUAAUAUUUUUGGAAAAAAGGAACAUUUGCUAUCUAACUGGGAGUCUCCUGAGUGAAAACAUCUGAAGUUCUUCAAAGGUAAAUGAUUUAAUUUGAUUGCUUUUCUUAUUUUUGUGAAAAUGUUGCCUGCUGCCAGCAGAGCCUAGCAUAGCAUUAUGCCAUGACGAACUUACCCAAAUGCUUGUCUAGUGUUGGCUGUAAAGCAUAUUUUGAAAAUCUGAGAUGACAGUGUGAUUAACAAAAGGCUAAGCUGUGUCUCAAUAUAUUUCAUUUGUGAUUUUCAUGAAUAGGAACAUUUUCUAGGGGUAUUUAUGUCCGCUGCGUUAUGCUAAUUCGUUUGAGGCGAUGAUUACGCUCCCAGAUCCGGGUUUGAGAGUCACAAGAAGACUUGGUGAGUUAAAUAAAGGUAUAUAAAAAAAAAACAUUUAAUCAGCGCCCAAAAAUACCGAUUUCCGAUUGUUAUGAAAACUUCCAGUGUUUUAAAGUUCUAUGAAAUGAGUCUGUAUAGUUACUAACCCUUGUGAUAGUGAGUAGAGGAUGAUAUGAAAUGAGUCUGUGUUGUUACUAACUCUUGUGAUAGUGAGUGGACGAUGAUAUGAAAUUAGUCUGUAUAGUUACUAACCCUUGUGAUAGUGAGUGGAGGAUGAUAUGAAAUGAGUCUGUAUAGUUACUAACCCUUGUGAUAGUGAGUGGAGGAUGAUAUGAAAUGAGUCUGUGUAGUUACUAACCCUUGUGAUAGUGAGUGGAGGUUGAUAUGAAAUGAGUCGGUGUAGUUACUAACCUUUGUGAUAGUGAGUGGAGGAUGAUAUAGAUCAUCAUUUUCAUAACUUAUGAGAUACUUUUAGAAUAGUUUUAUUCCCAUUUUGUAUUGCACAGCCUACUGAUAUGAAUACGUACAGUACCAGACUACUGAUAUGAAUACGUACAGUACCAGCCUACUGAUAUGAAUACAUACACUACCAGCCUACUGAUAUGAAUACGUACAGUACCAGCCUACUGAUAUGAAUACAUACAGUACCAGCCUACUGAUAUGAAUACAUACACUACCAGCCUACUGAUAUGAAUACAUACAGUACCAGACUACUGAUAUGAAUACAUACACUACCAGCCUACUGAUAUGAAUACGUACAGUACCAGCCUACUGAUAUGAAUACGUACAGUACCAGCCUACUGAUAUGAAUACGUACAGGUAGCCUAAUGGUUAGAGCAUUGGGCCAGUUACCGAAAGGUUGUUGGAUCGAAUCCCUGAGCUGACAAGGUAAAAAAAUAUAUAUAAUAAUUCUGCCCCAGAGCAUAGCAGUUAACACACUGAUUCUCGGGCGCCAGAGACGUGGAUGUCGAUUAUGGCAGCGCCCCGCACCUCUCUGAUUCAGAGGUUGAGUUAAAUGUGGAAGACACUUUUCAGUUGAAUGCAUUCAGUUGUACAACUGACUAGGUAUCCCCUCUCCCAUUCAGAAAGUAUUUAGACCCCUUGACUUCUUCCUCGUUUUGUUACGUUACAGCCUUAUUCUAAAUGUAUUAAAUAAAAAAUGUUCCUCAUCAAUCUACACACACUACGCCAUAAUGACAAAGCAAACACGUUUUGGAAAUGUUUUCACAUUUUAUUAUAAUAAAAAAACAGAAAUACCUUAUUUAUGUAUGUAUUCAGACCCUUUGCUAUGAGACUCAACAUUGAACUCAGGUGCAUCCUGUUUCCAUUGAUCAUCCUUGAGAUGUUUCUACAACUUGAUUGUUGUCAACCUGUGGUAAAUUUUAUUGAUUGGACAUGACUUGGAAAGGCACACACUUGUGUAGAUAAGGUCACACAUUUGAUAGUGCAUGUCAGAGCAAAAACCAAGCCAUGAGGUCGACGGGAUUGUCUGUAGAUCUCCAUGAAAGGAAACAUUCACAAGCUGGUAAAAUGGCGGCGCCCACUCUGUCUGCGUCAACAGACUUCAGUGCAGGCAGUGUGGAUGCAUCAGAGGGAGACCAUUUUUACGGUUGCACUACUGUUUUGAAGCUAAACGUUAUGAUUAUCGGUUUUCUACAUGUGUCAUAAUAUUCAGACACAUUUGUCCUUAGCGCUCCAUGAAAGGAUUAUGUCGAGGCACAGAUCUGGGGGAG
rnacentral:lncRNA from 13 species